rnacentral:tRNA from 1 species
CGGAGCGUGGCGCAGUUGGUAGCGCGCUUGGUUUGGGACCAAGGUGUCGCAGGUUCGAAUCCUGUCGCUCCGA